GCAGCCGCGGUAAGACAGAGGGUGCAAACGUUGUUCGGAAUUACUGGGCGUAAAGCGCGUGUAGGCUGCUCGGAAAGUCGGAUGUGAAAGCCCUGGGCUCAACCUAGGAAGUGCAUUCGAAACUUCCGAGCUGGAGUGCUGGAGAGGAAGGCGGAAUUCCCGGUGUAGAGGUGAAAUUCGUAGAUAUCGGGAGGAACACCAGUGGCGAAGGCGGCUCUCUGGGCAGAUACCGACGCUGAGACGCGAAAGCGUGGGAAGCAAACAGGAUUAGAUACCCUGGUAGUCCACGCUGUAAACGAUGACAACUGGGUGUUGCGGGGUAUUGACUCCCGCUGCGCCGAAGCUAACGCGUUAAGUUGUCCGCCUGGGAAGUACGGCCGCAAGGCUAAAACUCAAAGGAAUUGACGGGGGGCCCGGCCACAAAGCGGUGGAGCAUGUGGUUUAAUUCGACG
rnacentral:rRNA from 1 species